rnacentral:rRNA from 1 species
GACGAACGCUGGCGGCGUGCUUAACACAUGCAAGUCGAACGGUGAAGCGCUUGCCUUUUUGGUGGGUGUGGAUGAGUGGCGAACGGGUGAGUAACACGUGAGUAACCUGCCCUCUUCUUCUGGAUAAGCUCAUGAAAGUGGGGCUAAUACGGGGUAUUCCGGGUCUGUCGCAUGGCGGGUGUGGGAAAGAUUGCGCCUUUGGGUGUGCUCGGUGGGGGAUGGGCUCGCGGCCUAUCAGCUUGUGGGUGGGGUGAUGGCCUACGAAGGCGGUGACGGGUAGCCGGCCUGCCGGGGUGGACGCCCACGCUGGGACUCAGACACGGGCCCGUCUCCUGCGGGAGGCCGCCGUGGUGAAUAUCGCACGAUGGGCGCAAGCCUCAUGCAGCGCCGCCGCGUGAGGGCUGGUGGCCUUCGGGUUGUGAACCUCUUUCGCCAGUGAAGCAGGCCUGCUCCUGUGUGGGUGGGUUGACGGUAGCCGGCUAAGAAGCGCCGGCUAACUACGUG